AUUGAACGCUGGCGGCAGGCCUAACACAUGCAAGUCGAACGGUAACAGGAAGAAGCUUGCUUCUUUGCUGACGAGUGGCGGACGGGUGAGUAAUGUCUGGGAAACUGCCUGAUGGAGGGGGAUAACUACUGGAAACGGUAGCUAAUACCGCAUAACGUCGCAAGACCAAAGAGGGGGACCUUCGGGCCUCUUGCCUUCGGCUGUGCCCAGAUGGGAUUAGCUAGUAGGUGGGGUAACGGCUCACCUAGGCGACGAUCCCUAGCUGGUCUGAGAGGAUGACCAGCCACACUGGAACUGAGACACGGUCCAGACUCCUACGGGAGGCAGCAGUGGGGAAUAUUGGACAAUGGGCGCAAGCCUGAUGCAGCCAUGCCGCGUGUAUGAAGAAGGCCUUCGGGUUGUAAAGUACUUUCAGCGGGGAGGAAGGGAGUAAAGUUAAUACCUUUGCUCAUUGACGUUACCCGCAGAAGAAGCACCGGCUAACUCCGUG
rnacentral:rRNA from 1 species